rnacentral:rRNA from 1 species
CCUACGGGAGGCUGUAGUGAGGAAUAUUGGUCAAUGGGCGCGAGCCUGAACCAGCCAAGUCGCGUGAAGGAUGACGGUCCUACGGGUUGUAAACUUCUUUUAUAAAGGAAUAAAGUGUGGCACGUGUCCCCUUUUGUAUGUACUUUAUGAAAAAGGAUCGGCUAACUCCGUGCCAGCAGCCGCGGUAAUACGGAGGAUGCGAGCGUUAUCCGGAUUUAUUGGGUUUAAAGGGAGCGUAGAUGGGUUGUUAAGUCAGUUGUGAAAGUUUGCGGCUCAACCGUACAAUUGCAAUUGAUACUGGCAGUCUUGAGUACAGUAGAGGUAGGCGGAAUUCGUGGUGUAGCGGUGAAAUGCUUAGAUAUCACGAAGAACUCCGAUUGCGAAGGCAGCUUACUAAACUGCCACUGACAUUGAUGCUCGAAAGUGUGGGUAUCAAACAGGAUUAGAUACCCUUGUAGUC